GGUCAGUGAUGUGAUGUAAAAGGUCUGAAGCUCAGAACUCCACCCCUCCAUUUCCUCAAUUCCACCGAGCCACCUCAGCUGUGUUUUCCAGCAUGCUCUAGGUAUGUGUGUUGGGGUGCUUGGAGGCUGACAUUGAAGAGUGCUCUGCUCAGAGUGUGUGUGUUUGUUAGAGAUACCAGACACACACAUGGCAGCAGUGUCCAACAUGGAGGUGGAGACCUGAGCUACUGAUCUCACCUUCAUACUGAGACC
rnacentral:scRNA from 1 species